rnacentral:rRNA from 1 species
CCUACGGGAGGCAGCAGUAAGGAAUCUUCCACAAUGGUCGAAAGCCUGAACCAGCCAAGCAGCGUGAAGGAGGACUGCCCAGAGUAUUGUAAACCUCUUUUAUCAAGGAAUAAAGAGAGGCACGUGUGCCUGGAUGAAUGUACUUUAUGAAUAAGGAUCGGCUAACUCCGUGCCAGCAGCCGCGGUAAUACGGAGGAUCCGAGCGUUAUCCGGAUUUAUUGGGUUUAAAGGGUGCGUCGGUGGGUUGUUAAGUCAGUUGUGAAAGUUUGCGGCUCAACCGUGACAUGGCUAUUGAAACUGGCAGUCUUGAGUACAGUAGAGGUAGGCGGAAUUCGUGGUGUAGCGGUGAAAUGCAUAGAGAUCGCGCAGAACUCCGAUUGCGAAGGCAGCAUACUAACCCGCCACUGACGUUGAUGCUCGAAAGUGUGGGGAUCAAACAGGAUUAGAUACCCUUGUAGUC